UACGGAAGGCAGCAGUGGGGAAUAUUGCACAAUGGGCGAAAGCCUGAUGCAGCUAUGCCGCGUGUAUGAAGAAGGCCUUAGGGUUGUAAAGUACUUUCAUCGGGGAGGAAAAAACAAAACUAAUAAUUUUAUUUCUUGACGUUACCCGAAAAAGAAGCACCGGCUAACUCCGUGCCAGCAGCCGCGGUAAUACGGAGGGUGCUAGCGUUAAUCAGAAUUACUGGGCGUAAAGAGCACGUAGGUGGUUUUUUUAAGUCAGAUGUGAAAUCCCUGGGCUUAACCUAGGAACUGCAUUUUGAAACUGAAAUACUAGAGUAUCGUAGAGGGAGGUAGAAUUCUAGGUGUAGCGGUGAAAUGCGUAGAUAUCUGGAGGAAUACCUGUGGCGAAAGCGGCCUCCUAAACGAAUACUGACACUGAGGUGCGAAAGCGUGGGGAGCGAAACAGGGAUUAGAUACC
rnacentral:rRNA from 1 species